GCACCCGUAGCUCAGCUGGAUAGAGCGUCGCCCUCCGAAGGCGAAGGUCACAGGUUCGAAUCCUGUCGGGUGCGCCA
rnacentral:tRNA from 2 species